GCACUGAUCUGUUGUUGACAGAAACCUUUAUUGAUAUGACAGCAGAGUCUAUUACAAUAGCAGAGACUAUAACAAUGUUUUAAUCCCAGUACUUACUGCGCCGAAUGACGCGUUAUAGUAAAUUUUUUGAAUAAUUUACAAAAGAAGUUGUUUUGAACGGUUUCCUUCGUAAGUGAUUGUUUCAAAAAGCUUCUUAUGUAAAUUACAUUUUUUUUGAAAGGCUUCGUUUCAAGACUAGUCAUAAAUGCAAUAAACUAUCCACAUGCUAAUAAACAACAAUGCAAACAGAUGUCGCAAUUGGAAUCUAAAGAUUAGUAAAAUUUUCUUCUCGUGAAAAACAUUCAAGAUCUCCAGUUCUUUAUUAUUUUCACCGAUUUUAAAGCAAUAGAUAUUCCGGUUCAUGGUUUCAAAUUAAAAAAAAAAGUGCAAUUCUGGAUCCUGAAAAUAAAAUUGCAGUGGAUUUUUAUAGUUCGAAAUUGCUGCUCAAGUGAAAAUAAAUUACCAAAAAGCUAAAAUCAAGUUUCCUUCAAAAAAUAUGUUAUAAUUUUCAAGACUAUUGGAAAAGAUUUCAAAAACGAGUGUACGCAUUGAUUUACAUAUUGAAAAGUAUAAAAGAUGGAUUAAGAACCAUUUUCGAAUGACGAACUUGCCUAUUUUUUGAAAAGAGAAUUAAAAACAUCAACUCUUAUAAUAUGCUGAAAUGAAAGUCUAUAAAUCUGAUAAAGCGUUUAAAAAAAUUGAUUGAUUAAAAGAAUGAUAUUUCACAGCGUGGUCUUGCAAAACGAUUCAAUGUAUCACAACUGUACAUAUGCAAAGUUAUAAAAACGAUUCAAUGUAUCACAACUGUACAUAUGCAAAGUUAUAAAUUAAAAAAGUAGUAUUCGUUAUCGCAAUAAAACACCGAAAAGAACACCGCCGCAAAUAAUCAGCUGUUUGAGACGCUGUUGAUUAUUAUUGAUGUUCGUUCGAAACGCUGUAGAUUAAUAUUGAUUUUUUGCAAAAUGAAAUUGCUAUUAUUAACAAUGAAUUGUAUUUGAUUUGAGUAACACGAAUAUAUCUCUCUAUAUCAUAAAUGA